rnacentral:rRNA from 1 species
UACAGAGGUCUCAAGCGUUGUUCGGAUUCAUUGGGCGUAAAGGGUGCGUAGGCGGCGCGGUAAGUCGGGUGUGAAAUCUCGGAGCUUAACUCCGAAAUUGCACCGGAUACUGCGUGACUCGAGGACUGUAGAGGAGAUCGGAAUUCACGGUGUAGCAGUGAAAUGCGUAGAUAUCGUGAGGAAGACCAGUUGCGAAGGCGGAUCUCUGGGCAGUUCCUGACACUGAGGCACGAAGGCCAGGGGAGCAAACGGG